AUUGAACGCUGGCGGCCGGCCUAACACAUGCAAGUCGAGCGGUGCGGCGGACGGGUGGGUAAUGCCUAGGAAUCUGACUGGUCGUGGGGGAUAACGUCCGGAAACGGGAGCUAAUCCCGCAUACUACCUGCUGAGCCUAGGUCGGAUUAGCUCGCUGGUUGGGUAAAGGCCUACCAAGGCGACGAACCGUAACUGGUCUGAGAGGAUGAUCAGUCACACUGGAACUGAGACACGGUCCAGACUCCUACGGGAGGCAGCAGUGGGGAAUAUUGGGCAAUGGGCGAAAGCCUGAUCCAGCCAUGCCGCGUGUGUGAAGAAGGUCUUCGGAUUGUAAAGCACUGUAAGUUGGGAGGCGUUACCAACAGAAUAAGCACCGGCUAACUUCGUGCCAGCAGCCGCGGUAAUUC
rnacentral:rRNA from 1 species